AUACGGAGGAUGCGAGCGUUAUCCGGAUUUAUUGGGUUUAAAGGGUGCGUAGGCGGAUGAUUAAGCGUGAGGUGAAAUGCCACUGCUCAACAGUGGAACUGCCUCGCGAACUGGUUGUCUUGAAUGCUCCUGCCGUGGGAGGAAUGUGUGGUGUAGCGGUGAAAUGCAUAGAGAUCACACAGAACACCGAUUGCGAAGGCAUCUCACGAAGGGGUGAUUGACGCUGAGGCACGAAAGCGUGGGGAUCAAACAGGAUUAGAUACCCUGGUAGUCCACGCAGUAAACGAUGAUAACUAACCGCUGGGUCGUAGUGAUUCAGUGGCCAAGCGAAAGCGAUAAGUUAUCCACCUGGGGAGUACGACCGCAAGGUUGAAACUCAAAGGAAUUGGCGGGG
rnacentral:rRNA from 1 species